rnacentral:rRNA from 1 species
UACAGAGGGUGCAAGCGUUAAUCGGAGUUACUGGGCGUAAAGGGCGCGUAGGCGGGAUGUUAAGUUAGAUGUAAAAUUCCUGGGCUUAACCUAGGGUUGUCAUCUAAAACUGGCGUUCUGGAGUACUGUAGAGGGUAGUGGAAUUUCCGGUGUAGCGGUGAAAUGCGUAGAGAUCGGAAGGAACACCAGUGGCGAAGGCGGCUACCUGGACAGAUACUGACGCUGAGGCGCGAGAGCGUGGGGAGCAAACAGG